rnacentral:rRNA from 1 species
GGAAACACAACCACCUUCCUUCGGGGAGGAUCACCGGUGGUGCAUGGGUGUCGUCAGCUCGUGUCGUGAGAUGUUGGGUUAAGUCCCGCAACGAGCGCAACCCCUGGCGCAUGUUGCCAGCAUUAAGUUGGGGACUCAUGCGAAACUGCCGGUGACAAACCGGAGGAAGGUGGGGAUGACGUCAAGUCAUCAUGCCCCUUAUGUCCAGGGCUACACACGUGCUACAUUGGGCGGUACAGAGGGGUGCGAUACCGCGAGGUGGAGCGAAUCCCAAAAAGCCGGUCUCGGUUCAGAUUGGAGGCUGAAACUCGCCUCCAUGAAGGCGGAGUUGCUAGUAAUCCCAGAUCAGCAACGCCGGGGUGAAUACCUUCCCGGGCCUUGUACACACCGCCCGUCACAUCAGGAAAGUUGGUAACACCCGAAGCCGGUGGCCUAA